rnacentral:lncRNA from 1 species
CACACACGAACACUCACACACACCCGGACUGACUCCUUCCCUCACACGCCUACUAUCCACUUUCGCCUGAGACCGCAGCCAGCACAGGGCUCAGUUUUUUAUUUUAUUUUUUAUUUGCUUUGCUUGCUUUGGGUCUUUCCCUCUUGUACAGUGAGACGAGUCCCAUUUCACCCCUCCUCUGCAUAGAGAGCGCCCCUGAAAACAUAGGCCCUGGAUUGUCCCUGCAUCAGACUGCAUGCUACCAAUUGAUUUGUGCAUCUACUCCUCCCUAUUAUUUUAGCUCUUUAUAAAAAAAAUUGCUCUCUACCUUUAAUGUAAAAUUCGGUUCAUUUUGAGUAAUUUCUUCACAUACCCAUUCUGGAAGAGAGGACGAAGAAAAGAAGAAAACGCUCACGGAAUGGACAGAUGAAAGGGGACAGCAGAAAAAAAGAGAAUGCUGUGGUCUACUCUUGUCUUGAGUCCGUGGAAACUUCCCACUAAGGAGGAACAAUGGAAAGAAUUUCAAUCCAGCCUCAGUAAGGUAACAUCUCUGGCAAGUUUGGAGGUUUAGUGAUGAGCCAUUAUGAGGUGGAGCCGUUCACCAACCCAACCCAACACACAACACAAUUAUAUGGUAUCCAAAGUAGUGGCAGAUUGACUCUUUCUUUCAGGGAUCGUCAUAAAUGCCAUGAGCAACCAAUUACCAUUGAGACCACAGGAGGGACAUUUCCUAUUGGCCGGCUUUGUGCCCGGACCACUAAUAUGGUCCAAUGAGAAGAAGGUAAAGGGUCAUGACCCCCGUAUAUGUUUCACCUGGGACGUUCAAGAUAACCGCCCAGCUGCUGAAGACUUACAUGAUAAUAAAAGUCAUUUUAGAGACAGAGAGAGCUUUGAUAGUCAUUUUGUGUUAGUGUUCAUUGUGUGUUGCAAAUCAAUAAAAACAAAAC